AUUGAACGCUGGCGGCAGGCCUAACACAUGCAAGUCGAGCGGAGCGGCGGACGGGUGAGUAAUGCAUAGGUAUCUGCAAGGUAGUGGGGGAUAACGUUCGGAAACGGGCGCUAAUACUGAUUCCUCUCAGCUUAGCCUAGGUCGGAUUAGCUAGUUGGUGGGGUAACGGCCUACCAAGGCGACGAUCCGUAACUGGUCUGGGAGGAUGAUCAGUCACACUGGAACUGAGACACGGUCCAGACGCCUACGGGAGGCAGCAGUGGGGAAUAUUGGACAAUGGGCGAAAGCCGGAUCCAGCCAUGCCGCGUGUAGGAAGAAGGUCUUCGGGUUGUAAAGCACUUUAAGUUGGGAGGCGUUACCAACAGAAUAAGCACCGGCUAACUCCGUGCCAGCAGCCGCGGUAAUAC
rnacentral:rRNA from 1 species